rnacentral:lncRNA from 1 species
AAUUCUUCAGGUACCCAUCAUUGAUAGUUCAACUUAAAACCUUCUUCAAUAACUACUCUUUUCAACUUAGAAUCAUCGAAAUACAAACCCUGCCUGAAAUCUUCUAAACCCCAAAAUACCUUUAACACGCAACAUUAAUUCUCUGACUCUAUCUGAAAUUACCAACUCACUACCUUUUGUAACUCAACAUCCAUAUUCACUUCUCUCUUGAUCCAACUCAACCGUUCACUGAACAUCAUCCUAAAACCACACCUGAAGAAAACGAACUAUACCACGACAUGCAGCUUCCAAAACAUUGAUAGUCUCAAUCAAUCUCGAUUCUCUGAUUGUUCACGAUACCCUC